UACGGAGGGGGCAAGCGUUGUCCGGAUUUAUUGGGCGUAAAGAGCGUGUAGGCGGCUAGGUAGGUCCGUUGUGAAAACUCGAGGCUCAACCUCGAGACGUCGAUGGAAACCAUCUAGCUAGAGUCCGGAAGAGGAGAGUGGAAUUCCUGGUGUAGCGGUGAAAUGCGCAGAUAUCAGGAAGAACACCCGUGGCGAAGGCGGCUCUCUGGUACGUGACUGACGCUGAGACGCGAAAGCGUGGGGAGCGAACAGG
rnacentral:rRNA from 1 species